rnacentral:Y_RNA from 1 species
GGCUGGUCUAAGUACAGUGGUGUUUACAACUAAUUGAUCACCACCAGUUAUAGAUUCCUUUGUUCCUUCUCCACCCCCCCUUCACUUGACCAGCCUUUA